ensembl:ncRNA asRNA:CR45384 antisense RNA:CR45384
CUGGCUUUCACCUUCGUUGUCACGCGAUUAUCGUAAACUAGCGUGAGCUCAGUGCCCGACCCACUGAACCAGCCGUCGACCCUGGAGCCUCCAGCUCAUUGAUCUUUGUAUACAAUUUAAUAAAACUAGUUAUACCGCGACCAAGCAGCCCAGAACAGACGACGUAUACCCCCCUAUCCUUUAAUCCGGUAUCCGGGAGUUCCGCCUUGAGGAACCAGGUCGGCAGGCGGCGGCGUUAUCCGUACACCUGGCAUCCUGGUUAUCUCUGGCCUCCUGGAUCACGUCGUCGAGGGUCAACUGGAUACGACUGUCCGGCCUCGGGUCCGGCCGCCUUUGGUUACACUUGAGCAUGACUUUGAGGCGCGGGAUCUUGGAGAGGUGGUCAUAGAACCGCACUAUAUGCAAGGACCCAGAAGGCCUCGGUUCAGAGGCAGCACACACGGGCUGAUCCCGGCAGUUGCACAAGAAACUGAUGGCCUUCCGGCUGGAACUAACAUCGAACUCGGCGCUGACCAGGUAGCAGGGCUCCAGGGAGAGCACUAUACGCAUCACUAGAGGAAGAGAGUCCGGGAGGAAGAGUAGGCCGAGCAACUGUCUCACUGGCACUGAUCUUACCCGAAGAGGUCUCCAGGAUCUGUGACCGGUUCUGAAUCCAAACUGACCGUAAGCUCGGCUGAUUGGAACGUGGGCUGCGGAGCGAGCUGUCCAGGUAUUCCCGUAUGGUCAUCGCAUGAUUGGAGUGACGCAGUCCCAGGAGCUGUUGCCGUGAGUUGCCGGGCAAGGCGGCCAGAGGCAGGUUGUCGUAGACGGAGACAUAGAUCUUGUGGCUGAUAUAGACCACCACGAAGCACAGGAUGACGAUGAGCAGUCCGAUAAGCAGGUAAGUGAACAGUGUCGGUAUAAAGAAGAUGGCGUCCAGAAACAUGGGGUCGCUGAUCCGGAAGUGCUAACUCACUGACAGAAUACGCAAAUCUACAGAGAGGGUUACGGGAAUCCAUGGGAGGAUCUUCGAAUCUCUUGGUUU